GAACCCGUUUAUUUCCGAUCCUGACCGAAAGCGCCCUGUUAAACGGUUUUGCCAUCCCUAAUUCUUGCGCACAACCCUGGAUUUUACCCUCCAUCGCAUUUUCUCUAUGGCCUCAUGAAUUUUCUCCUAUACUCCAUUGCGCUUUAGAAGUUUAUUUUUCCCCUCCGCCGCGGCCCUCCAUUUCUCCAUUGCUCUCUGGCUGUAGAGAGCUUUUCCCUCCGUGCGCAUCCCUCAAUUUCUCCAUUUACACUCGAGCAAAUUUGCAAAGGUCUCUCCCUCAAAUUUGUGAAGGCACGGGCUUGAAGAGGGAGACUAGCCCUGGUAAAUAGUUCUAGACUGACUUAGACCCUGUUAGGAAAGUUAGGUGCACCAUCUUGGUAAGGCGUGUUGGUUGAGGUCAGAGCCGUGAUUUGACCUAGUUGUAACCAGUGCCGCUCCACCCGUGAAGUGAGCUUUUAGUGGAAUUUUCGGGCUUGCGAGCUAAAGGCGGGGGCGUAGGCAGUAUUGGUCGAACCCCGAUAACAUAUCGUGUGUGCAUUUAAUUUUUUUUCGUAAUUUAUUUAUCGCACGUGUAUGU